rnacentral:sRNA from 1 species
AUGGCUGUCGUCAGCUCGUGUCGUGAGAUGUUGGGUUAAGUCCCGCAACGAGCGCAACCCUUAUCAUUAGUUGCUACGCAAGGGCACUCUAAUGAGACUGCCGGUGACAAACCGGAGGAAGGUGGGGAUGACGUCAGGUCAUCAUGGCCCUUAUGGGUAGGGCUACACACGUCAUACAAUGGCCGGUACAGAGGGCUGCCAACCCGCGAGGGGGAGCUAAUCUCAGAAAACCGGUCGUAGUCCGGAUCGUAGUCUGCAACUCGACUGCGUGAAGUCGGAAUCGCUAGUAAUCGCGGAUCAGCUUGCCGCGGUGAAUACGUUCCCGGGUCUUGUACACACCGCCCGUCACACCAUGGGAGCGGGUUCUGCCAGAAGUAGUUAGCCUAACCGCAAGGGGGACGCUUACCACGGAGUGGUCAAUGACUGGGGUGAAGUCGUAACAAGGUAGCCGUAUCGGAAGGUGCGGCUGGAUCACCUCCUUUCGAGAACGACUUCAUACUUCCUCCCAAGGUCCCCACACAAGACACCUGCAUGUCCAGAAAAAGCACGUCCCAACGGGGCUGUAGCUCAGCUGGGAGAGCACCGCGUUUGCAACGCGGGGGUCACCGGUUCGAUCCCGGUCAGCUCCACCAGAUCUAAGAUCUUUGGGUCUGUAGCUCAGGUGGUUAGAGCGCGCCCCUGAUAAGGGCGAGGUCGGUGGUUCGAGUCCUCCCAGACCCACCAAGUCUUCUGGAUAUGUCUGCGUACACUAAAAGAAUCUGAAACUGGCCUGACGUUGAGGUUUGGCCGGUGUUCUUUGACAAUUUGGGACGUAACAAGCGUCUGAACUCUCAACCGAGUUUAGAUGUGUCGUUGAGGCAAAUAGGCGAAAUAUUGAGAGUUGGUCGGUAACCUGAAACAGCUUCGGGUUAUAUGAUCAAGCGAAUAAGCGUCUACGGUGGAUGCCUUGGCGGUCAGAGGCGAUGAAGGACGUGGCAGCCUGCGAAAAGCGUGGGGGAGCUGGCAACAAGCAUUGAUCCCGCGAUGUCCGAAUGGGGAAACCCGG